rnacentral:rRNA from 1 species
AGUGGAUGGGGAGCAACCUAGUUGUGCGUGUGUAAAGGUAGUGCCAAGAAAAGCGGUGAUCAUGAUGAAAAUCAAUUCCCGGUACCCGAAACCGACACAGGUGGGCAAGUAGAGAAUACUAAGGGGCGCGAGGUAACUCUCUCCAAGGAACUGCAAAAUGACCCCGUAACUUAGGGAGAAGGGGUGCCACCGAGAGGUGGUCGCAGUGAAGAGGCCCAGGCGACUGUUUAGCAAAAACAUAGGUCUCUGCAAACUCGAAAGAGGAGGUAUAGGGGCUGACGCCUGCCCAGUGCCGGAAGGUUAAAGAAGUUGGUCAGUCUAGGAUGAAGCUAGCGACUGAAGCCCCGGUGAACGGCGGCCGUAACUAUAACGGUCCUAAGGUAGCGAAAUUCCUUGUCGGGUAAGUUCCGACCCGCACGAAAGGCGUAACGAUCUGGGCGCUGUCUCGGAGAGAGGCUCGGCGAAAUAGGAUUGUCUGUGAAGAUACGGACUACCUGCAUUUGGACAGAAAGACCCUAUGAAGCUUUACUAUAGCUUGGGAUUGUGUUCGGGCUUCCUGUGCGCAGGAUAGGUGGGAGGCGUAGAAGGUAUUCUUGUGGGGAUACUGGAGCCAACGGUGAGAUACCACUCUCAGGAGGCUAGAAUUCUAACUUAACUAAGGACAGUUUCAGGUGGGUAGUUUGACUGGGGCGGUCGCCUCCAAAAAGGUAACGGAGGCGUACAAAGGUUCCCUCAGACUGGUUGGAAAUCAGUCGAAGAGUGCAAAGGCAGAAGGGAGCUUGACUGCGAGAAGUACAGUUCGAGCAGGGUGGAAACACGGUCUUAGUGAUCCGACGGUGCUGUGUGGAAGGGCCGUCGCUCAACGGAUAAAAGUUACUCUAGGAUAACAGGCUGAUCUCCCCCAAGAGUUCACAUCGACGGGGAGGUUUGGCACCUCGAUGUCGGCUCAUCGCAACCUGGGGCGGAAGUACGUCCCAAGGGUUGGGCUGUUCGCCCAUUAAAGCGGUACGUGAGCUGGGUUCAGAACGUCGUGAGACAGUUCGGUCCAUAUCCGAUGUAGGCGUGAGAAUAUUGAGAGGAGCCUUCCUUAGUACGAGAGGACCGGGAAGGACGCACCGCUGGUGUACCUGUUAUGAUGCCAAUUGUAAACGCAGGGUAGCCAAGUGCGGAGAGGAUAACCGCUGAAAGCAUCUAAGUGGGAAGCCCACCUCAAGAUGAGUAUUCUGGUGUAAGGUCACGGGAAGACGACCCGUAAAUAGGCACGAGGUGGAAGUGCAGAGAUGUAUGAAGCCGAAGUGUACUAAUAGACCGUCGGCUUGA